rnacentral:rRNA from 1 species
GACGAACGCUGGCGGCGUGCUUAACACAUGCAAGUCGAACGGAAAGGCCCUGCUUUUGUGGGGUGCUCGAGUGGCGAACGGGUGAGUAACACGUGAGUAACCUGCCCUUGACUUUGGGAUAAUUUCAGGAAACUGGGGCUAAUACCGGAUAGGAGCUCCUGCUGCAUGGUGGGGGUUGGAAAGUUUCGGCGGUUGGGGAUGGACUCGCGGCUUAUCAGCUUGUUGGUGGGGUAGUGGCUUACCAAGGCUUUGACGGGUAGCCGGCCUGAGAGGGUGACCGGCCACAUUGGGACUGAGAUACGGCCCAGACUCCUACGGGAGGCAGCAGUGGGGAAUAUUGCACAAUGGGCGGAAGCCUGAUGCAGCAACGCCGCGUGCGGGAUGACGGCCUUCGGGUUGUAAACCGCUUUCGCCUGUGACGAAGCGUGAGUGACGGUAAUGGGUAAAGAAGCACCGGCUAACUACGUGCCAGCAGCCGCGGUGAUACGUAGGGUGCGAGCGUUGUCCGGAUUUAUUGGGCGUAAAGGGCUCGUAGGUGGUUGAUCGCGUCGGAAGUGUAAUCUUGGGGCUUAACCCUGAGCGUGCUUUCGAUACGGGUUGACUUGAGGAAGGUAGGGGAGAAUGGAAUUCCUGGUGGAGCGGUGGAAUGCGCAGAUAUCAGGAGGAACACCAGUGGCGAAGGCGGUUCUCUGGGCCUUUCCUGACGCUGAGGAGCGAAAGCGUGGGGAGCGAACAGGCUUAGAUACCCUGGUAGUCCACGCUGUAAACGGUGGGUACUAGGUGUGGGGUCCAUUCCACGGGUUCCGUGCCGUAGCUAACGCUUUAAGUACCCCGCCUGGGGAGUACGGCCGCAAGGCUAAAACUCAAAGGAAUUGACGGGGCCCCGCACAAGCGGCGGAGCAUGCGGAUUAAUUCGAUGCAACGCGUAGAACCUUACCUGGGUUUGACAUGGAUCGGGAGCGCUCAGAGAUGGGUGUGCCUCUUUUGGGGUCGGUUCACAGGUGGUGCAUGGCUGUCGUCAGCUCGUGUCGUGAGAUGUUGGGUUAAGUCCCGCAACGAGCGCAACCCUUGUUCACUGUUGCCAGCACGUUAUGGUGGGGACUCAGUGGAGACCGCCGGGGUCAACUCGGAGGAAGGUGGGGAUGACGUCAAGUCAUCAUGCCCCUUAUGUCCAGGGCUUCACGCAUGCUACAAUGGCUGGUACAGAGAGUGGCGAGCCUGUGAGGGUGAGCGAAUCUCGGAAAGCCGGUCUCAGUUCGGAUUGGGGUCUGCAACUCGACCUCAUGAAGUCAGAGUCGCUAGUAAUCGCAGAUCAGCAACGCUGCGGUGAAUACGUUCCCGGG